UUCAACUUUGAUGUUUGAAGUGAGAGCUAAUUCAACUUUUUUGGCCAUGUGAUUUGAGGCUACAUUAUAGGUCACUUUUGACCUAUACCACUGAUCAAGUGAUUUUUCCAAACUUCAAAAAUGCAUAACUCUAUCAUGCAACUUCAUCAUAAGCAUUAGCAUUGGGAUCAUACCUUGGCACCUUCCUUACCCCUCUUUCAUUGGGUUUGUUUUGGGAGAGAUCAC
rnacentral:lncRNA from 1 species